rnacentral:rRNA from 1 species
UUGAGCGGAGAUAUAUGGAGCUUGCUUUAUAUAACUUAGCAGCGAACGGGUGAGUACACGUAGAUAAUCUAUCCUAUACUGGGGGAUAGCCCGAUGAAAGUUGGAUUAAUACCGCAUAUAGCUAUAUAGUUGCAUGAUUAUGUAGUGAAAGAUUUAUUGGUAUAGGAGGAGUCUGCGGCACAUUAGCUAGUAGGUGAGGUAAAGGCUUACCUAGGCGACGAUGUGUAGCCGGUCUGAGAGGAUGAACGGCCACAAUGGAACUGAGACACGGUCCAUACUCCUACGGGAGGCAGCAGUGGGGAAUAUUGCACAAUGGGGGAAACCCUGAUGCAGCAACGCCGCGUGAGUGAAGAAGGUUUUCGGAUUGUAAAGCUCUGUUAGCAGGGAAGAGGAAGGACGGUACCUGCAGAGGAAGCCACGGCUAACUACGUGCCAGCAGCCGCGGUAAUACGUAGGUGGCAAGCGUUGUUCGGAAUAACUGGGCGUAAAGGAUGCGUAGGCGGUUAAACAAGUUAUAUGUUAAAUAUAUAGGCUUAACCUGUAGAAAGCAUAUAAAACUGUUUAACUAGAGUGCAGGAGAGGUAAGUGGAAUUCCUAGUGUAGCGGUGAAAUGCGUAGAGAUUAGGAAGAACACCAGUGGCGAAGGCGACUUACUGGACUGUAACUGACGCUGAGGCAUGAGAGCAUGGGGAGCAAACAGGAUUAGAUACCCUGAUAGUCCAUGCUGUAAACGAUGGGUACUAGGUGUGGGUUGUGAAUAACAAUUCGUGCCGUCGCAAACGCAAUAAGUACCCCGCCUGAGGAG